UCCCUGGCCAUCCAGUGGUUAGGACUCAGCACUUUCACUGCUGUGGGCCCAAGUUCGAUCCCUGGUUGGGGAA
rfam:TPA: Bos taurus chromosome 1, whole genome shotgun sequence.